rnacentral:rRNA from 1 species
GAUGAACGCUGGCGGCGUGCCUAAUACAUGCAAGUCGAGCGAACAGACGAGGAGCUUGCUCCUCUGAUGUUAGCGGCGGACGGGUGAGUAACACGUGGAUAACCUACCUAUAAGACUGGGAUAACUUCGGGAAACCGGAGCUAAUACCGGAUAACAUGUUGAACCGCAUGGUUCAACAGUGAAAGACGGUCUUGCUGUCACUUAUAGAUGGAUCCGCGCCGCAUUAGCUAGUUGGUAAGGUAACGGCUUACCAAGGCAACGAUGCGUAGCCGACCUGAGAGGGUGAUCGGCCACACUGGAACUGAGACACGGUCCAGACUCCUACGGGAGGCAGCAGUAGGGAAUCUUCCGCAAUGGGCGAAAGCCUGACGGAGCAACGCCGCGUGAGUGAAGAAGGUCUUCGGAUCGUAAAACUCUGUUAUUAGGGAAGAACAAAUGUGUAAGUAACUAUGCACGUCUUGACGGAACCAAAGCAGAAGGCCACGGCUAACUACGU